rnacentral:rRNA from 1 species
AGUGAACGCUGGCGGCAGGCCUAAUACAUGCAAGUCGAACGGCAGCACAGUGGAGCUUGCUCCAUGGGUGGCGAGUGGCGGACGGGUGAGGCAUACAUGGGAAUCUGCCCAGUCGUGGGGGAUAACUUAGGGAAACUUACGCUAAUACCGCAUGCGCCCUUCGGGGGAAAGCCGGGGACCUUCGGGCCUUGCUCGAUUGGAUGAGCCCAUGUUCGAUUAGCUAGUUGGCGGGGUAAAGGCCCACCAAGGCGACGAUCGAUAGCUGGUCUGAGAGGAUGAUCCGCCACACUGGGACUGAGACACGGCCCAGACUCCUACGGGAGGUAGCAGUAGGGAAUAUUGGACAAUGGGCGCAAGCCUGAUCCAGCCAUGCCGCGUGAGUGAAGAAGGCCCUCGGGUUGUAAAGCUCUUUUGUCCGGGAAGAAAAGCAUCGGGCUAAUACCUCGGUGUUCUGACGGUACCGGAAGAAUAAGCACCGGCUAACUUCGUG